rnacentral:rRNA from 1 species
GACGAAGGAUCCAAGCGUUAUCCGGAUUCAUUGGGUUUAAAGGGUGCGUAGGCGGACCUGUAAGUCAGUGGUGAAAUCUCUUUGCUUAACAAAGAAACUGCCAUUGAUACUGCAAGUCUAGAGUAUAGAUGACGUUGGCGGAAUAUGACAUGUAGUGGUGAAAUACUUAGAUAUGUCAUAGAACACCGAUUGCGAAGACAGCUAACGAAACUAUAACUGACGCUGAGGCACGAAAGUGCGGGGAUCAAACAGG